rnacentral:sRNA from 2 species
CUACUACUAUAUAUUUAAUAUGAUAAUAGUUCAGUGUAUAUAAGAGAUGAUCUGUUCUUAUAUUUCUGAGAACACUCCUCACAAGCACUCAUCACCCUGCUGCUCCUUGUGAGCACUCAUCACCCUGCUGCUCCUUGCGAGCACUCAUCGCCCUGCUGCUCCUCACAAGCAAUCAUUGCCCUGCUGCUCCUUGCGAGCACUCAUCGCCCUGCUGCUCCUCGCGAGCAAUCAUCGCCCUGCUGCUCCCUGCGAGCAAUCGCCCUCCUCCGCCCUGCCUCCACCCUGCCUCUGCCUGCCACUGCUCCUCGCGAACAAUCACCCUGCCCUGCCUCCUGCUCCUUGUGAGCAAUCGCCCUGCUGCUCCUCGCGAGCAAUCGCCCUGCUGCUCCCCCGCGAGCAAUCGCCCUGCUGCUCCUCGCGAGCAAUCGCCCUGCUGCUCCCCCGCGAGCAAUCGCCCUGCUGCUCCCCCGCGAGCAAUCGCCCUGCUGCUCCUCGCGAGCAAUUGCCCUGCCCUGCCUCCUGCUCCUCGCGAGCAAUCGCCCUGCUGCUCCCCCGCGAGCAAUCGCCCUGCUGCUCCCCCGCGAGCAAUCGCCCUGCUGCUCCCCCGUGAGCAAUCGCCCUGCUGCUCCUCGCGAGCAAUUGCCCUGCUGCUCCCCCACAAGCAAUCGCCCUGCUGCUCCCUGCGAGCAAUCACCCUGCUGCUCCCCCGCGAGCAAUCACCCUGCUGCUCCUCGCGAGCAAUCACCCUAUAUCUGCUCCUGGUGAGCAGUUGUCUAUUUCUUUACCAUGGAUGGCCACACGUCGGGCUAGAAGUGGAUGAGCAGUCUAUAUAGACUGAGUCUUCUCAAGAGUUGCUAUCUGGAUUCUGUGUCUAUUUCUACUUUGUAUAUAGAGAUUUCUCCAGCUUAGCAUAUCUUCAUGCCCUUUGGGAGGCUUCUGAAGUGCAGGCAUUGCCUGCAUCUUCUCUGAGACAUUAAAUCAAUCAAUCAAUCAAUAUAUUUCUGAGAUCUAGUCAAAUCUUAUCUUCUAUAUUAUAUUGAGUUGUGAAACUUCUUCUGAUAUUUGUUUGAUUCUUAUAGUUCUGCUGAAUGCUAAUUAUUGAAGCUUUGACUCAUUUACAGACUUUUUUAAAUUUGCUGACUAUAUUCUCUACUGCUUGUACAGAACUGUGG